AAAACCCCCACCCCCUUCUACAAAAUCCCUGCAGCCCCACACACACAUUUACAGGCAGACAGUCACACACUCAGUUACAGACAGUCACACACUCAGUUACAGACAGACAGUCACACACUCAGUUACAGGCAGACAGUCACACACAGUCACAGGCAGACAGUCACACAUACACAUUUCCUCCGUGCGGCCAGUUUAUCAGCUGUUUGCUUGAG